rnacentral:rRNA from 1 species
UGCCAGCCGCCGCGGUAAUACGGAGGGUGCAAGCGUUGUUCGGAAUUACUGGGCGUAAAGCGCGUGUAGGCGGCUUGGCAAGUCGGGUGUGAAAUCCCAGGGCUCAACCCUGGAACUGCACUCGAAACUGCUUCGCUCGAGUCCUGGAGAGGGUGGUGGAAUUCCCAGUGUAGAGGUGAAAUUCGUAGAUAUUGGGAGGAACACCGGUGGCGAAGGCGACCACCUGGACAGUGACUGACGCUGAGACGCGAAAGCGUGGGGAGCAAACAGGAUUAGAUA